GCCUCUAUGGCACAGGGGUAAUGCGUGUCACUUGUAUUUGCAAGUCAUGACAAGAUCCGCGGUUCGAUUCCGUGUGGAGGCA